rnacentral:rRNA from 1 species
GAUGAACGCUAUCGGCAGGCUUAACACAUGCAAGUCGAGGGGUAGUCUAGCAAUAGAUGAGACCGGCGCACGGGUGCGUAACGCGUAUGCAACCUACCUUUUACAGAGGGAUAGCCCAGAGAAAUUUGGAUUAAUACCUCAUAGUAUCAAUAAACGGCAUCGUUUUUUGAUUAAAGUUCCAACGGUAAAAGAUGAGCAUGCGUCCCAUUAGCUAGAUGGUAAGGUAACGGCUUACCAUGGCGACGAUGGGUAGGGGUCCUGAGAGGGAGAUCCCCCACACUGGUACUGAGACACGGACCAGACUCCUACGGGAGGCAGCAGUGAGGAAUAUUGGUCAAUGGGCGCAAGCCUGAACCAGCCAUGCCGCGUGCAGGAUGACGGUCCUAUGGAUUGUAAACUGCUUUUGUACAGGAAGAAACACCCCUACGUGUAGGGACUUGACGGUACUGUAAGAAUAAGGAUCGGCUAACUCCGUGCCAGCCGCCGCCGUAAGAC